AUGGAUCGACACCUUAAAGACCUGUUUGAUGAGCUGCAGCGUCGCACACCCAGCACCAACACAAUCCUAAACAAGCUGGGCAUCGACAGAGUGUGGGAACAACAAGACGCUGCUGAGUUCUACGUAAAGAUCUUAAGUCAAACCAGUGAAGAUGCUUCACAGAUCUUCCACGGAGCAUUGACACAUACGACCAUAUGUCAUAAUCCUCAGUGUGGAGCACAGAAACCUGCAGACUCACGUUUCUGGCAUCUUCCUCUCUCAUUGAAUGAUUCCCACAGUGAAGAAUAUCAAGUGGUGAACGGCAUCAGGGAGUUUUUCAGAGAUUCUCAUUUCAGUGGACUGGACCAGAUGUACUGUGAGGAGUGUGAUGACAAAGUGGACGCGACUGUUGUGAGUGAUCACAGCGUGUCUGAUGCACCAACAUUAACAGUGUUUAUUAAUGUUCAUAAUUUAAUAAGCAGCUGA
rnacentral:lncRNA from 1 species